AUUGAACGCUGGCGGCAGGCUUAACACAUGCAAGUCGAGCGAGCGGCGGACGGGUGAGUAAUGUCUGGGAAACUGCCUGAUGGAGGGGGAUAACUACUGGAAACGGUGGCUAAUACCGCAUACUAUCGGAUGAACCCAUAUGGGAUUAGCUAGUAGGUGGGGUAAAGGCUCACCUAGGCGACGAUCUCUAGCUGGUCUGAGAGGAUGAUCAGCCACACUGGGACUGAGACACGGCCCAGACUCCUACGGGAGGCAGCAGUGGGGAAUAUUGCACAAUGGGCGCAAGCCUGAUGCAGCCAUGCCGCGUGUAUGAAGAAGGCCUUCGGGUUGUAAAGUUCUUUCGGUAGCGAGGCGUUAACUACAGAAGAAGCACCGGCUAACUCCGUGCCAGCAGCCGCGGUAAUAC
rnacentral:rRNA from 1 species